rnacentral:rRNA from 1 species
GGCAACGAUCGGUAGCCGGACUGAGAGGUUGAACGGCCACAUUGGGACUGAGACACGGCCCAGACUCCUACGGGAGGCAGCAGUGGGGAAUAUUGCACAAUGGGGGAAACCCUGAUGCAGCGACGCCGCGUGGAGGAAGAAGGUCUUCGGAUUGUAAACUCCUGUUGUUGAGGAAGAUAAUGACGGUACUCAACAAGGAAGUGACGGCUAACUACGUGCCAGCAGCCGCGGUAAAACGUAGGUCACAAGCGUUGUCCGGAAUUACUGGGUGUAAAGGGAGCGCAGGCGGGAAGACAAAGUUGGAAGUGAAAUCCAUGGGCUCAACCCAUGAACUGCUUUCAAAACUGUUUUUCUUGAGUAGUGCGGAGGUAGGCGGAAUUCCCGGUGUAGCGGUGGAAUGCGUAGAUAUCGGGAGGAACACCAGUGGCGAAGGCGGCCUACUGGGCACCAACUGACGCUGAGGCUCG